GUUCCACCUUCCUUUGCCCCAUCAUCUCCUCGUUCCUCUCUGAUCACCUGUCGAACUUGAGUGUCCCUUAGAGACAGAGAAGAGAAAGAUAAAACAGGCCAAGCAGAUGAACUGAAUGGGGAUGUGGUGGGAAUCACAUCUACAGCCUUCAAUUUCUUGAUGGUGGCACACAUAUCAGCAAACUUUCCAGGACUGUGAUAUUGCCUUAGUUUACUAUUUUACCAGUGGAGUGCUGUCACUUGGCCUCUGCCACCCUGGGAUGCAAUUACUCCCAUUACAUUUCACUUUCCCAGUUCAGUGACCAUUGCCCACUGUCAGGCCUGGAUCACAGAGAAGAGAGAUUGCUGAGCUCCUCAAGGAUGAUGAGACCCUUCCUCACAAAUUCAUUUCUCAUCAUAAAGGCAGAUCUGGAAUUUUCAACUCACUGUGGGCCACCUUGUGAUUCCCGUUUUAGCCAACCAAGCAACCAACCAGUCAGUCUUUUUCAUCUCCCUGAACUGCAGCAUUAACACAGAAUCUCUGCGUGCUGAGCCCACCA